rnacentral:rRNA from 1 species
UGACCUGAACUCAGUCGGGAUCACCCGCUGAACUUAAGCAUAUCAGUAAGCGGAGGAAAAGAAACUAAAUAGGAUUCCCUUAGUAACGCGGAAGUGAAAAA